rnacentral:rRNA from 1 species
GUUGGAAACGACUGCUAAUACCGCAUAAGCCCACGGGUCGGCAUCGACCAGAGGGAAAAGGAGCAAUCCGCUUUGAGAUGGCCUCGCGUCCGAUUAGCUAGUUGGUGAGGUAACGGCCCACCAAGGCAACGAUCGGUAGCCGGACUGAGAGGUUGAACGGCCACAUUGGGACUGAGACACGGCCCAGACUCCUACGGGAGGCAGCAGUGGGGAAUAUUGCACAAUGGGGGAAACCCUGAUGCAGCGACGCCGCGUGGAGGAAGAAGGUCUUCGGAUUGUAAACUCCUGUUGUUGGGGAAGAUAAUGACGGUACCCAACAAGGAAGUGACGGCUAACUACGUG